GGCGGGUUGCCCGAGUGGCCAAUGGGAGCGGACUGUAAAUCCGUCGGCUUAGCCUACCCAGGUUCGAAUCCUGGACCCGCCA
rfam:Actinomadura madurae strain DSM 43067 genome assembly, contig: Ga0074857_104